UACAGAGGUGGCAAGCGUUGUUCGGAAUUACUGGGCGUAAAGGGCGCGUAGGCGGCUUGGCAAGUGGAAGGUGAAAUCCCUCGGCUUAACCGAGGAACUGCCUUCCAGACUGCUAGGCUUGAGACCGGGAGAGGUGAGUGGAAUUCCCAGUGUAGCGGUGAAAUGCGUAGAUAUCAGGAGGAACACCAGCGGCGAAGGCGGCGCUCUGGGCCGGUACUGACACUGAGGAGCGAAAGCGUGGGUAGCAAACAGG
rnacentral:rRNA from 1 species